UCGAACGCGAAAGGGGCUUCGGCCCUGAGUAGAGUGGCGAACGGGUGAGUAACACGUGGGUGAUCUACCUUUGAGUGGGGGAUAACGUCCCGAAAGGGACGCUAAUACCGCAUGACGUUCUGGGUUUAAAGACCUGGAAACCAAAGCCGGGGACCGCAAGGCCUGGCGCUUGAAGAGGAGCCCGCGUCCGAUUAGCUAGUUGGCGGGGUAAUGGCCCACCAAGGCGACGAUCGGUAGCCGGCCUGAGAGGGCGGACGGCCACACUGGAACUGAGACACGGUCCAGACUCCUACGGGAGGCAGCAGUGGGGAAUUGUUCACAAUGGGCGCAAGCCUGAUGACGCAACGCCGCGUGGGGGAUGAAGGUCUUCGGAUUGUAAACCCCUGUCGAAUGGGACGAAAGACCCGGGAGCUAAUCAUCCUGGGAGUGACGGUACCGUUAAAGGAAGCCACGGCUAACUCUGUGCCAGCAGCCGCGGUAAUACAGAGGUGGCAAGCGUUG
rnacentral:rRNA from 1 species